UAGCAAGGCUCCAGCGUGCCAGUGUCUGCAGUAAGCCUGUGCAUUCCUACAGCGCUUGCCAGAACAGUUCUAAAGUGGUUUGAGGCCUUGCCCUGCUCUGUCCAGGGCAAGGUUAUAGAAAUUUCAGACAAUU
ensembl:snoRNA